rnacentral:rRNA from 1 species
CAGUAGCCGCGGUAACACAGAGGGUGCGAGCGUUAAUCGGAUUUACUGGGCGUAAAGCGUGCGUAGGCGGCUUCUUAAGUCGGAUGUGAAAUCCCUGAGCUUAACUUAGGAAUUGCAUUCGAUACUGGGAAGCUAGAGUAUGGGAGAGGAUGGUAGAAUUCCAGGUGUAGCGGUGAAAUGCGUAGAGAUCUGGAGGAAUACCGAUGGCGAAGGCAGCCAUCUGGCCUAAUACUGACGCUGAGGUACGAAAGCAUGGGGAGCAAACAGGAUUAGAUACCCCCGUAGUCCCUGUCUCUUAUAC